rnacentral:rRNA from 1 species
GACAGAGGGUGCAAACGUUGUUCGGAAUUACUGGGCGGAAAGCGCGUGUAGGCGGCCCUGUAAGUCGGGUGUGAAAUCCCACGGCUCAACCGUGGAAGUGCAUUCGAAACUACAGGGCUAGAGUUCUGGAGAGGAAGGUGGAAUGCUUGGUGUAGAGGUGAAAUUCGUAGAUAUCAAGCGGAACACCGGUGGCGAAGGCGGCCUUCUGGACAGUAACUGACGCUGAGACGCGAAAGCGUGGGGAGCAAACAGG